UGAAAUAUGUUUUGUAACAUUUCUCAAAUAUACUUUACUAAACAUAUUUCCUUUAAUUUUUAAAUCCUUUUUAAAGUGUUUGUUUAAGGGGAAAUUUAAUCCAUAUGUUUCUGAUUCAUUUACACUUAUCAAAGUUGUUUCUUAAGAAGAAUUAGCUUUCUAAGAAGCCUGAGGAACUCUUCUCAUGAAUUCUGUUAGCCCUUAAAAGCCUUUUUCCAAUCAAAACUUUUUUCCCCAAAGAUAAAUAAAUGUGGAUGAAAUGUUUUAGUUUGGUUUGCAAUACAAAGCCCAUAUUUCAAAAUCUAACCUAGUUGUGAAUUUAGGAUAAUAAACUAUUCUGCCUUUACCAUAAGAAUUCACCUCAUUUGUUGCUCUUCAAAGCAACUAACUGCAAAGGGUUUGCAAUAACUGUGCUCUCUUGAAAACGCAGAACACUGACAUUCCAUACUGUGUUCUCAAAUUCAUAGCAAAGGUGACAGAGGUGGGCGGCUGAGCAAACAUAUUAAACUAAGUCAGCUAGUUAUUGGGGAUCUACCAUGUAUGCCAAAUAUGUAUACAGUACAUAGUCACACAUAUACAUACAUGUGAAAAUACUCAUUUAAGGUUUGUGUGUGUUUACCUGUGCUUACAAAUUUUAACAAAAUUUAUUUUGUAUUUUGUAUUAAUUAUUCUGAAGUGACUACAAUUGUUCUCAUCUCUAUUUAGAAAUAUUUUUCGCCUGAGAUUUAGUUCAACACGUUUCUGUUGCCUAGCAGUAGGUUUUUGAGAAUAGCUUUUUGUAUAGCCUUAAUUGAACAGGUUGAUUGCAUGAAAUCUUCUUAGCAAAAGUAAAGUCAUCACAGUGAAGGUAAAAGGAACUAUGUUGACAACUAAUUGGAUAGAAUGUCAUAAACCGCAGUGGAUCUGGAAGAGAUUUGCAGAAACGUAGCAACAAAAGAAGGGAGUUUGUUCAAGGCAGCUAGAAACCGCAUUCAGAAAUAUUCGUGUUAAAAGAAAGGCACCAUUUUCCUUGGUUCUCAUUAGGGAAUUGUGUAAAAUACAUAUUUGUUCAUCACAAGAAAUAAUCAGUUCCUAUUUUUAGUGGAAACUUUUUCCCUGAGUUGUUUAGUAUGGGAUUAUUAGACAAUAAAAACAUCUUUUGU
rnacentral:lncRNA from 10 species